UACGUAGGGGGCAAGCGUUGUCCGGAAUCAUUGGGCGUAAAGAGCGUGUAGGCGGCCCGAUAAGUCCGCCGUGAAAGUCGGGGGCUCAACCCUCGGAUGCCGGUGGAUACUGUCGGGCUUGAGUACGGAAGAGGCGAGUGGAAUUCCUGGUGUAGCGGUGAAAUGCGCAGAUAUCAGGAGGAACACCAAUUGCGAAGGCAGCUCGCUGGGACGUUACUGACGCUGAGACGCGAAAGCGUGGGGAGCAAACAGG
rnacentral:rRNA from 1 species